UACAGAGGUCUCAAGCGUUGUUCGGAUUCAUUGGGCGUAAAGGGUGCGUAGGCGGCGCGGUAAGUCGGGUGUGAAAUCUCGGAGCUUAACUCCGAAACUGCAUUCGAUACUGCCGUGCUUGAGGACUGGAGAGGAGACUGGAAUUUACGGUGUAGCGGUGAAAUGCGUAGAUAUCGUAAGGAAGACCAGUGGCGAAGGCGGCUCUCUGGGACGGUACUGACGCUGAGACGCGAAAGCGUGGGGAUCAAACAGG
rnacentral:rRNA from 1 species